rnacentral:tRNA from 1 species
GGCUGUAGCUCAGUGGCAGAGUACUUGCCUUGCACGCUUGAGGCCCUGGGUUCAAUCCUCAGCACCA